rnacentral:rRNA from 1 species
UACUUUUACUGGUAGUCGGCUUGUAUACCGUUGUUGUCAGCUAGUUUCUUUAGAAAUCUUGCUAUAAUAAUUGACUAUUGACUUCAAAUAAAGGUGCAGCGGAUGUAAGAGGUUGAGGUGGAUUACAAUUAGAGGAUUAAUCACGGAUUAGAGGAUGCAAAGCUUUAUGAAGGAGGAUUUAGAAGUAAGGACAGUGUAAUGUUGAUAGAGGCUCUUUUUUGUGUACACACCGCCCGUC